AAUAUUUUGGCAGAAACCUAAUGCAAAAGACUUAGAAUCUUACUAACCAUCU
rnacentral:tRNA from 1 species